rnacentral:tRNA from 1 species
GAUUCCUUAGCUCAGCCGGUUAGAGCAUCUGACUUUUAAUCAGAGGGUCCUGGGUUCGAUCCCCAGAGGGGUCA